CGAGAAAAUGACUUUUUCAUGCUGGUAUUAAGGCUAUUAAGCAAUGAAGCCGACAUGUGCGACGAUUGCUUUGGCAUAGAUUUUAAAGAAAAUGAAGGGAAGAACUUAUCUUCGGGGGCCUGAAACUUUGAAAUCAUCGAAACAUUAUUUUUGGCAGCAGUACUUGAAUGCCUUAACAUAGGAAAUUGUGUCAAGCAACUGAAAACUCUUUGAUAAGACAGCCCA